rnacentral:snRNA from 1 species
AAGUGUUACAGCUCUUUUAGCUUUUCUGACAAGUGCCUGAAGGCACCUCAC